rnacentral:tRNA from 1 species
GGCUCGGUUGCUUAGUUGGUAAAGCACUCAUCUAGCAUACAAGAGUCCAGGGUUUGGAUCCCAGCCGAGCAC